rnacentral:lncRNA from 1 species
UAAUAAAUAUUAGUAAAUAUUUAUAAUUAAAUUUUAAAUUUCUCUAUGUUUUUUCUAUAUAUAAAAAGGUAUUGUCGGCAUAAGCAAUGGCAUCAAUUAGGACUUGAAUAUAAAGAGGUAAAAGACUUUUAGAAGGAGAUAUCUAAAGAGAAAAAAAGACUUUUGGAGGUAGUUAUGCUGAAUAUUACGUAGAUUUAAUAAAUAUUAGUAAAUUUUUAUAAUUAAAUUUUAAAUUUCUCUAUGUUUUUUCUAUAUAUAAAAAGGUAUUGUCGGCAUAAGCAAUGGCAUCAAUUAGGACUUGAAUAUAAAGAGAUAAAAGACUUUUAGAAGGAGAUAUCUAAAGAGAAAAAAAGACUUUUGGAGGUAGUUAUGCUGGAUAUUACUUGGAUUUGAUCAAGUUGUUGAUAUUUAUUUAAUCGGUCUUCAUAAACUUACUUACUGAGCGGUUAGUUUUGAAUAUAUAUAUAUUUUUUUAGUUAAUAUGCAUGCUUUGGUAAAAUUGUUUUUUAGUCAGACUUGUUUGUAUAAAAUAAAAUCAUACUUGUAAUAUUUUUUUUUUAUUUGCUUUCAUAUAUUUCGAUGAUUUGAUGAAUUAACUUUAUAGUAAUCUAUUAUCAAUUUCUAAAUUUAUCUCUUUCCUUUUUUUAUGAUUCUACUUUUUAAAUUUUACUAAAAUUACAAAAUUUUCUUCUCUUCGAUGCCUACUAAUUCUUUAAUUUUUUCUCUUUAUGUAGAAAAUGUCAUUAGCAUAUAGUUAUCUUCAACAUUGGGUUGAUGAUGAGGAAGGUAUGCAGCUGCCAACUGAUAUUUUAAUGGAAAUUUUCACUAGAGUUGAUUUGGCUACUCUAUACUCGUCUCGAGCUAUCUCUUUCUACUUCAACAGAGCAACUUACAUCUUUGAAUUUAUGUUGCGUCGUUGUCAAAGGUUGUCUGGAAC